UACGGGGGGUGCGAGCGUUGUCCGGAAUCACUGGGCGUAAAGGGCGCGUAGGUGGCCUGAUAAGGGUGUGGUGAAAGUCCGGGGCUUAACCCCGGAUCUGCCGUGCCGACUAUUAGGCUAGAGUGCUGUAGGGGCAGGCGGAAUUCCGGGUGUAGCGGUGGAAUGCGUAGAGAUCCGGAAGAACACCAGUGGCGAAGGCGGUCUGCUGGGCGGUGGGUCCGCGAGGAUCCAAUAGCCGACACUGAGGCGCGACAGCGUGGGGAGCAAACAGG
rnacentral:rRNA from 1 species